AAUGAACGUUGGCGGCGUGGAUUAGGCAUGCAAGUCGCGGGAAUCCAGCAAUGGGGAACCGGCGUAAGGGGCAGUAAUGCGUGGGUAUCUACCCUCGGGUCUGGCAUAGCCCUUCGAGAGAUGGGGUAAUUCCAGAUGACGUCGCAAGACCAAAGGUCCGCCGCCCGGGGAGAAGCCCACGUGAUAUUAGGUAGUUGGCGGGGUAAUGGCCCACCAAGCCUUAGAUGUCUAGCGGGUGUGAGAGCACGACCCGCGCCACUGGCACUGAGACACUGGCCAGACACCUACGGGUGGCUGCAGUCGAGGAUCUUCGGCAAUGAGCGCAAGCUUGACCGAGCGACGCCGCGUGGGCGAUGAAGGCCUUCGGGUUGUAAAGCCCUGUCGAGGGGGAGAAAAGAGCAAUCUUGAUCUAUCCCUGGAGGAAGCACGGGCUAAGUUCGUGCCAGCCGCCGCGGUAACAC
rnacentral:rRNA from 1 species